UAGGGAAUCUUCGGCAAUGGACGAAAGUCUGACCGAGCAACGCCGCGUGAGUGAAGAAGGUUUUCGGAUCGUAAAACUCUGUUGUUAGAGAAGAACAAGGACGUUAGUAACUGAACGUCCCCUGACGGUAUCUAACCAGAAAGCCACGGCUAACUACGUGCCAGCAGCCGCGGUAAUACGUAGGUGGCAAGCGUUGUCCGGAUUUAUUGGGCGUAAAGCGAGCGCAGGCGGUUUCUUAAGUCUGAUGUGAAAGCCCCCGGCUCAACCGGGGAGGGUCAUUGGAAACUGGGAGACGUGAGUGCAGAAGAGGAGAGUGGAAUUCCAUGUGUAGAGGUGAAAUGCGUAGAUAUAUGGAGGAACACCAGUGGCGAAGGCGGCUCUCUGGUCUGUAACUGACGCUGAGGCUCGAAAGCGUGGGGAGCAAACAGG
rnacentral:rRNA from 1 species